rnacentral:rRNA from 1 species
AAAUGAAUUGACGGGGGCCCGCACAAGCAGCGGAGCGUGUGGUUUAAUUCGAUGCAACGCGAAGAACCUUACCAAGGCUUGACAUGCUAGAAGUAGAAACUUGAAAGAGGAACCACCUGUAUCCAGUCAGGAGCUAGCACAGGUGCUGCAUGGCUGUCGUCAGCUCGUGCCGUGAGGUGUUAGGUUAAGUCCUGCAACGAGCGCAACCCUCAUUGCUAGUUGAAUUCUCUAGCGAUACUGCCCGUAUAACGUGGAGGAAGGUGAGGAUGACGUCAAGUCAGCAUGGCCCUUACGCCUUGGGCUACACACACGCUACAAUGGAUGAUACAGAGGGUCGCUAAGAAGCGAUUCGGAGCUAAUCCUUAAAAUCAUCCUCAGUUCAGAUUGUAGACUGAAACUGUCUACAUGAAGUAGGAGUUGCUAGUAACCGCAGGUCAGCACACUGCGGUGAAUACGUUCUCGGGCCUUGUACACACCGCCCGU